AAUGUGUGAAAAGUGUUACAGUUGCUGUGUUGUUCGGUUUUGAAUACGCAGGUGCCGUUAUUCAGACAUGUGUGCGGAUGAAAGAGAGUGGGCGGCGUCAGCCCCUGUGGUCCCUGUGAGGUCCCCCGCCAGAAGAGCCCCCGUGCACAGUUAGCCGGCACAUGCAACCAAGGAAGUACAGUACGCACGUGGGACCCCUGAAGGAAGCCCAGCGCCAAUCGCGGGCAAGCAGCAGGAUCUCCCAGGAGGAAGGAAGCCCCGAGAGGAGCAGCCAGACAGCAGCAGGAUGAACAGCAAACAGCUUAUUUUGCAUCCACGAUGCAAAUCACUUCAAGCAAGUCUCAAACCAGUGGAUUGGUAGACAUCCCGGCCUUAAGCGGAAUAGUCCCUUUUUCUCUGAAGAUCAUCCUGAAGCAGCUGAAGACAAUCCUGGGUAGCAGGCGACAGGUGCCUAUCCUUCACGACACCCUCACCAAAUGAACAUCGAAAGCCGGCCAACUGGUGCUAUAAGACCGAUGAUUAGGCUAUAUCAAGAAGCGGAUGAGGCUACUCAACAUGCGUAGGUGGAACAUGCACCGGUUUUUUUGCAACUCCUAUAUAAGACUACAUAUCCCAAACAAUUAACUCCAUGGCUGACAUAAAUGCUUUUGAAGACUUCCAAUAUUAAACAAUUAUAUAUGUAGAAUACCUCAUCAUGCGAGGUUGAAAAAAUAAGUUUAUACACGUCUGUACUGUUAAUAACAAGUAUUUAUGUAAACAAAAUUCGAUGUAUUUUUGUACUUUUGAAGGUGUUCCUAAUUUAGAUAUAAUAGAUAGAAAAUUUAUUGUUUUAAACUUUUUUAUAUUUAUUGCGUGUAACUUAGUUUUUUGUAAUAUAUUUAAGUUUAAUAGGGUCUCUUCGUAUCGCAAGAAAAUUGUAUCCUUCAAAAAUGUUACAAAAACAGUCCAUUUAUCUU